rnacentral:sRNA from 1 species
GCUGGAUGUAGUGGUGCACACCUGUAAUCCCAGUGACUUGGGAGACUGAGGCAGGAGGAUUGCAAGUUCAAGGCCAGCCUCAGCAAUUUAGUGAGACGCUAAGCAACUUAGUGAGGUCCUGUCUCAAAAAAAUGAAGAAAAAAAAAAAAAUCAAAAAGGUCUGGGGACAUAGUUCAGUGGUAAAGUGCUCCUAGGUUCAAACCCCAGAACCAAAACAAAAACUAAAAUCAAAAAAUAAAUUGCUCAGGCUGGCCUUGAACUUCUGACCCUCCUGCCUCAAU